rnacentral:rRNA from 1 species
CUCCUACGGGAGGCAGCAGUAGGGAAUCUUCCGCAAUGGACGAAAGUCUGACGGAGCAACGCCGCGUGAGUGAUGAAGGUUUUCGGAUCGUAAAGCUCUGUUGUUAGGGAAGAACAAGUACCGUUCGAAUAGGGCGGUACCUUGACGGUACCUAACCAGAAAGCCACGGCUAACUACGUGCCAGCAGCCGCGGUAAUACGUAGGUGGCAAGCGUUGUCCGGAAUUAUUGGGCGUAAAGGGCUCGCAGGCGGUUUCUUAAGUCUGAUGUGAAAGCCCCCGGCCAACCGGGGAGGGUCAUUGGAAACUGGGGAACUUGAGUGCAGAAGAGGAGAGUGGAAUUCCACGUGUAGCGGUGAAAUGCGUAGAGAUGUGGAGGAACACCAGUGGCGAAGGCGACUCUCUGGUCUGUAACUGACGCUGAGGAGCGAAAGCGUGGGGAGCGAACAGGAUUAGAUACCCGGUAGUCCACGCCGUAAACGAUGAGUGCUAAGUGUUAGGGGGUUUCCGCCCCUUAGUGCUGCAGCUAACGCAUUAAGCACUCCGCCUGGGGAGUACGGUCGCAAGACUGAAACUCAAAGGAAUUGACGGGGGCCCGCACAAGCGGUGGAGCAUGUGGUUUAAUUCGAAGCAACGCGAAGAACCUUACCAGGUCUUGACAUCCUCUGACAAUCCUAGAGAUAGGACGUCCCCUUCGGGGGCAGAGUGACAGGUGGUGCAUGGUUGUCGUCAGCUCGUGUCGUGAGAUGUUGGGUUAAGUCCCGCAACGAGCGCAACCCUUGAUCUUAGUUGCCAGCAUUCAGUUGGGCACUCUAAGGUGACUGCCGGUGACA